GACAGAAUCGCAAAGUGCAGUGGUGAUUCAGUGGUGAACACCUGGUGGAUUUAUGCUUCUCCUUGAAGUUCAGUCUCUUAGAAUGUCUCACACAGCAUUUCCUCUAAUGCAAAAGUCCCUCGGUGAGAGAUUAGGAGAACAUUAAUCACAACACAACACUUCAUCAGCAGUUUUCCAGGACAAACAAAGGCUACGAGCCAACAACUAAUAGAACAACAGCAAGAGCGUGAGAUGUAAAACACAGAAGGAAAGAUGCCGCUCAGGCCUCGGGGCGACACUCUCUUCCUCCAUUAGAAGUAGUGACCUGAGGAAGAUGAGGACGAAGAGAAUGAAAGCAUGACAAAAGUGGAAGAAAAAGAGCAGCCAGGGGAAGCCAUGAUCCAGGCCAAUGAGGCCAGCACUUUGUGUUGGCUCAGAGGUAUCAAUGAAAUGCAAAUGUAUUCAAGAACCGGAACGGUUUUCUCCCAACGGAGACCGUCCCACUGUUUAAUGGACCAUCACAGUGAAAAUGUGAUGACUGAAAGGAGGCAUUGUAAGAGUCUGGCAGUGUCUUCCUCUGACGGGAAAGAGUACCAGACCGAUUUCAUCUGAUUAAUCACCAGUAUGUGGCCUUGUGGAGUAAAAGAGAGAGAAAAGUCAGGGGAAGGUGAGGGAUGAAGAUGUUUGAUGGACUACUAGACCUCACUGCUUUAUUUCAGCUGCACUGACAUGUUUCCAGUGCUGUGGGGAACCAGAACACCCCAUAAGAAGUAAAAAACAGACUUAGGGGGGUCCCCCCAGAUUUUUGUAUUUUAGUAAAGAUAACAAAGACAAAUCUGAUUAAAUUCACACAGUUAGGAUAUUCCGUGAAUUAAUUAUUUACAAUCAUUCAUGUGACUGAAGUCUAUUUUUAGGCUAGUUGUCAUGUCUCUUUAAAAUAUACGCCCCUAAGACCGCUAAGCGCAUGACAUUACUACUUGCUUGGCGCCACUGCGUUGAAGCUAACUUUAGCGAAAAAUUUAGACUAAUAAACCUCUACUUGGAGUCGGGAAGAGAAAGCUUCUUAGGUUUAGUGCUUUCGUGGGUCUUCAUUAUGGCUGGAUAAAAAAAUAUUGAUUUCGAAUAUCGAAUCGAUUCUCAUUUUUACGAACCGAUAUAGAUUCUUAAAUCCCAAGAAUCGAUUAGUCUAGUCUGUUUUCAGUUGAUGAAUGAAUGGAACAUAGCGUGCCUCCCAUCCAAUAAAUGGCAAUAAGAUUUGUGCUUUGUUACUUUUGAUAUGAUUUGAUAUGACAGUCUCAGAUUUCAAAUUCUGUCUGAAGCCGCCAGUGUGUCUAAAUGGCGCUGACAUCUUGAUUCUCGAGUCUGCGCAGAGUGAACUUGAAACCCGAGUCUGCACAGUAGUGAGCGCGAAGUGGAGCCGCAAUAUCAAGGUCCCGCCCAAACUCAGAACAACUCAUUAUGUUUGUGAAAUAAACAGUUAUAGAAAUGUAGAAAUUAAAGUUAAAGCUCCAAUGUCCUCGCGAAGAUCCAGAAAAAAGUCUGUUGGCGCCUCAAUGACUACUUCACUCAGAGAAGCUGUCAAUCAUACCGUCACACCCCCGUUUUUAUAGCAUCAAAUAACUAACUACAACCAAAUUUAUUCAAAGAACGAACACUUGAACUAACACCAGUGCGAUAAAAACUGCCUAAAAUGACAGAAAUUGUCUUUGGAAAAAAAUAUUUAAAGUGUAAUUUAAUUGUUUAGUUUGUCUCACGUCCCAUUGAAAUACAUGGAGUGGGCAGGGUUUAUGACCUAUACUGUUUCCAGCCACCUGGGGGCGAUCGAGACGCUUUGGCUUCACUUUUCAGGACUCGUGUGGCACGCUUGAUUUUAUUACGAAAUUCAAAAAAUAACCGUUUUGUUUACCAUAUUCAGUGACCAUAACUCGUUAGUUAGCUAGAAAUCUAGAGAGCAGCAUUUUGCUAAAUAUAUGCACCAAAUUGCAUAUACAUUAUAAUUUUUAAUGUUCUUCAAUAUUUAAUGCAUGUAUUAAAGCUUGUGAAUCGAAUUUUAAAAUUUGUGUCAAUACCCAGCCUUAGUCUUCAUGUGCAGAAAAACAGAAAAAUAGCUCAACUAUGGAGAUUCUGCUGUAAAGCAGCUCUAAAAGAAAAUAGUGUCAUUAAUUAGCUCAAAUUUAGCUUAUGUGUAGUCCCCUUCCUUGUUUUGCCAUGGUUGCCCUUUUGGGUCUGCUGUUUUGUUGCACUAUAAAUCAAGUAUUACUUAGGGUAAGCCAUUUAAAAGAGGAAUAGUAGCUUAUCUCUCUUUGUUAUAUCUUUGUUAUACCAUUGCCUGGACUGAAAAUGUAUAUAUUUUAUUUAUUCCUGAUCACGACAAAAAGCCUGUUCUCUUAUGUAAGCCUGUUUUAAUAAAUGGUAUAUAGUUUUGUUUAUAUAUAUAUUAUAAACAUAUGUUAUAUUACAAGACUAACCACAACCCCUCAACACCCCCCAACCCCACAAGUGUUUCCACAAGGAGCUCUUUAAACUUAUAAAAUACAAGCACAAGCUUAUUAAAAGAUUAAGACAUACCCAUUGUUCAUAUUUUUUUAAUCAGGUAAAAAAAAAAAAAAAAAAAAAAACACACAAAAAAAACAAUUUGCUUUUAGAAGGAUUUAGGCAUGCAGGUUAGCAGGUUCAACUCGAGCAUGUGUUGGAUUGGAGGGUGACGCCCUACUGGGGGGCCUAAAAAGACCCCUGGUAAAAAAAAAUUCUGCCAUGGCAAGAUUAAAAAUAAAAAACUGCUGGCUCAAAUCUUUCAAAGCUGCCAUAGCAGCCAAACCAGCGGAACGAUAUUGUCAUGUUUGUAAAUUAGCGCAUGAAUACAGAAAUGCAUGGGAGUAAUCCUCUAAUCGUGUUCGUUUUAGAGCACUGCGAGGCACCGAGUUCGCUGUUGCCCACCACUGCGGAUUACUGGAGCUCAUUAAACACACAGAUGAAUUAUUGAAAUGGUCCGGGGGCCUUUUGCUUCCAUCCAAAUUGAAGACAAAGGGGACUGGGAAAUGAAUGCUUUAUCAGGGCCGGACAGCACUCCCACAUGCUGCAACUCCUGGGCACGACAUCGGUGUGAUCGACCCCUCCAAAGCUCCAAGAUUAAAUGGUUUAUUGACUGUUGGAGGGGCAUCAAAGCGAACGGGCUCGCACAUGAACUCACCUUCAAAUGUUACUGCCACUGUCCUAGUCUGCAAGCUAUUGAUGGGAGGUCCGUAUUUGUUUGUGGCUUUGUGGAUUUGAAAUUCGGGUUUUGUAGGAUUUCAAAAAAACAAACAAACAACAACAACUAAACACUGAAUAGUUAAUGUCAAAGUAUGCUACACUUGAACCACAUAGUAACACCCUGCCAACCUCCCAGAACACCAUAGAAACUGCAUAGCAACAUGCUAAAUCCCACAGAGAACACCUUAACAACCACAUAGCAACACCCUAGUAACUGCAUAGAAUCAUGUUCAAAUCCACUCAGAACAACUUAGAAACCACAUAGCAACACCCUAGCAACUGGAUAGCAACAUUCUAAAUUCCACUCAGAACACCAUAACAACUGCAUAGCAUAGGAUUUUAAAUUUAAAAACCACUAAUGAACAGAUCGUGCUAAUGGGUGCUAGACUUGAACAUCAGCACCUUCGUUAGUUGUCUUUCUCUGUGUGAGUGCAAAGCGGUUUUGCAGGCAUGCGGUAAAGGGCAGAGCCUGAUUGAGCUGAAGCAAAGGCAAAGGCAAAGGCCAGGCCAGCUAAAGAGCAAUUGCAAGUGGGAAUAUUGGCUUUUCCAAAUCACUGGUAUUAAUUUGUGGAGUUGAAGUCCUCUACACUUUAUAAGAGGCCAGACACUUUCAAUAAUUUCGAAGGAGCCAGAGGUAUUCAUGCUCAGAGAGACUGGAUUUUCACUUACUGUUUAUCUGGUACCUGCACCUUGGGGCUGCCGUCCCACCGCCCUCUCCUUCUAAGGUACAUUCAAGCCCUUGUCAACAUUCCUGGCCCACAUUGCCUGUGACAUUAAAUUAAAUAGGUUAUUGACUGACCAAUAAGUUGGCAAUGAGUCUGCUUGAAUUCAUGCUCACUGCGUCACUGACCCAACAGGAUCCGGGUCACCGCACCAGAAAUCAAAGCAUAAUGGAUGCUGAUCACUGGAACUACUUCCAUGUACACGUAUUAUUUGUUUUUAAUUUGUAUUGAUGGUAAUCACAUUGAUCUUGAUGGAUAGCCACUGGCAGGUACAACAACAACUGUAAAAACAUAGUCCCUCUUGCACAGUCUUGAUUUACAGCAUUUACAGCAAUUCUCUCCUUUCAUUAUAUUUACAUUCUUGGUGCUUUUUUUUACAC